GACUGUUGAAGGUUUGUCCUCACCAGGUCCGUUGAUGAGAUGUUUAAGAAUAAUCAUCAUGACCACAAGCAAAAAGUGGAAGCCAUGAUUAAGAACAUUAAUACAAUUUCUUUGGAGGUGAAGAAGAUGAAAGGCCCAAAGGAACGGGAACAGGCGAAAGUCAAACUGUCUAACUGAAGGCCAGCGAAUACAAGUAGCAUCUAGUAGGAAGGACCUGACCCAAUACCAAUCACAUCUCCUGCUCCCAUGAAGCCUCUGUCAUGUGCUGACCUACAUCUACUGGAGAUCUGGCUUGGAGAUCUCCUGAAAAUGCAGUCAGCUUACACCUGCCUCCCCACUGCUCUGAAGAUCUGGCCCCUAAGGGAAGCUGGCUGAUGAUGAUGUACUUUAUAUCAGGAAGGAAGGAAAGAGCUGGGUACCCAAGAAGACCCCUAGUUAUACAUUUAUAUGACAUGAAAAUGAUUCGGGAAAGUUCUUGUAGGUAAUGAGAUAAUCUAUUCAUUGAUCCUUCUGAGACACAGGGGCAAUCUAGAGAAGAAAAACCUUCCCUCCAUGCUUCAGUGAGGCUCUGAAGGACUCUAUAGAGCAAUUAUUCUCAACUGUCCUAAUGAAUCCUUUAAUACAACUCCUCAUGUUGUGGUGACCCCCCCCCCGAACCAUAAAAUUAUUUGCAUUGGUGUUUC
ensembl:processed_transcript